UACAGAGGGGGCAAGCGUUGUUCGGAAUUACUGGGCGUAAAGGGCGCGUAGGUGGCCAACUAAGUCAGACGUGAAAUCCCUCGGCUUAACCGGGGAACUGCGUCUGAUACUGGAUGGCUUGAGUUUGGGAGAGGGAUGCGGAAUUCCAGGUGUAGCGGUGAAAUGCGUAGAUAUCUGGAGGAACACCGGUGGCGAAGGCGGCAUCCUGGACCAAUACUGACACUGAGGAGCGAAAGCCAGGGGAGCAAACGGG
rnacentral:rRNA from 1 species